UCAGACGAAACCCAACAGGCCAGGGGCUGUUCAAUCAGACGAAACCCAACAGGUCAGGGGCUGUUCAAUCAGACGAAACCCAACAGGUCAGGGGCUGUUCAAUCAGAUGAAACACAACAGGUCAGGGGCUGUUCAAUCAGACGAAACCCA